ACGCUCGACACCUACGGGAGGCAGCAGUGGGGAAUAUUGCACAAUGGGGGGAAACCCUGAUGCAGCGACGCCGCGUGAGCGAAGAAGUAUUUCGGUAUGUAAAGCUCUAUCAGCAGGGAAGAAACUGACGGUACCUGACUAAGAAGCACCGGCUAAAUACGUGCCAGUAGCCGCGGUAAUCUGAGCGGCUGGCAAGGC
rnacentral:rRNA from 1 species